UAGAAAAAUCAAUAUGAAUUCCAUAUACCCGAAAAUGCGUGUGUGUGAAGCACGUAAUCAGUAGGGAAACGGGGAACGACUAAAUUGCCUUGUUAACCGGUACGGCCUGACCCCUACCGGCAUGCAGAAGCAUCGCUUCCGACGAUUCCUCUCGGGCUUAUGGAGCCGAUCGCCGUCUUUACUUCGUAGUCUAUGGUUAAGACGCCGUCUCAGAGAGUACAGAGACCUUGUUGAAUUAUAGAUACAUCGCUGUAUCGGUAUCGGUAUCCCCAACACUAACAUUUAUCUGAGUUUGGUCUUGUCUAUGAGAGAUCUGUAAAUAGGGAGACGUUUGGUGGUGCCAAAGGUUUGUAAGAAGUUUCUUUUAGCUUUAUCUAAUUGCUGGAUUACCACCUUCGCUAUCCCCAAGCCUUGGAUAUUUAUUAUUAGCCAGUUAUUUGGAUUUUCCACCUUUCCUAUCUCCAAGCUCUGGAUAUUGAUUAGACAGUUAUUUUCAUUAUAACACACAACAUGAUCGGAAGGAGUCGUUUACAAAAAGAGGUGUUGCAGCUGUAUCGAAAAUUCUUAUUUGCAGCAAAAGGAAAACCUGGAUUUGAACAAA